rnacentral:rRNA from 2 species
AAUACCCGAUUGGCGAAGGCAGCCAUCUGGCUUAAUACUGACGCUGAGGUACGAAAGCAUGGGGAGCAAACAGGAUUAGAUACCCUGGUAGUCCAUGCCGUAAACGAUGUCUACUAGCCGUUGGGGCCUUUGAGGCUUUAGUGGCGCAGCUAACGCGAUAAGUAGACCGCCUGGGGAGUACGGUCGCAAGACUAAAACUCAAAUGAAUUGACGGGGGCCCGCACAAGCGGUGGAGCAUGUGGUUUAAUUCGAUGCAACGCGAAGAACCUUACCUGGUCUUGACAUAGUAAGAACUUUCCAGAGAUGGAUUGGUGCCUUCGGGAACUUACAUACAGGUGCUGCAUGGCUGUCGUCAGCUCGUGUCGUGAGAUGUUGGGUUAAGUCCCGCAACGAGCGCAACCCUUUUCCUUAUUUGCCAGCACUUCGGGUGGGAACUUUAAGGAUACUGCCAGUGACAAACUGGAGGAAGGCGGGGACGACGUCAAGUCAUCAUGGCCCUUACGACCAGGGCUACACACGUGCUACAAUGGUCGGUACAAAGGGUUGCUACCUAGCGAUAGGAUGCUAAUCUCAAAAAGCCGAUCGUAGUCCGGAUUGGAGUCUGCA